UGGCGGACGGGUGAGUAGCGCGUAAGAACUUGCCCUUUAGACUGGGAUAACAGAGGGAAACUUCUGAUAAUACUGGAUAAGUUAGUAUAUCGCAUGAUAUGCAAAUGAAAGCUACGGCACUAAAGGAGAGCUUUGCGUCCUAUUAGCUAGUUGGUAAGGUAAGAGCUUACCAAGGCGAUGAUAGGUAGCCGGCCUGAGAGGGUGGACGGCCACAAGGGGACUGAGAUACGGCCCUUACUCCUACGGGAGGCAGCAGUC
rnacentral:rRNA from 1 species